CAUAUGCCUUUGUUCGGUGUGUCUGGCUUUUGCUCUGAUGAAGGCCUGAGGCAGGUUGAGACAUAAAUGUGACAGCAAGGAUUAUGGGACUUUUUGAGGAUAUUUCCCUACUUUAAGUGCAGUGUGUACAAACAAAUGCGUGAGGCCAAUCAGGAUGCUUCUUCAUGUUGAGACCAGGAAAUAGAAACAUGCUGGAUUGACUCACAUCACUUAAUGUCAUUACAACCGGAGGGGAAGCUGUCAAAAUGCAGAUGAGCUUCACUGCAUUACACCUUCAUCGCUCAAUGUGCUCCCAUGAGUAAGGUGAGAGACAGAGAUGGCGACAGCGACAGAUCCUGAUCGCGAUCGCAUGGUGGAACCAUGGUAUCGAAGUCCCUCCCAUACACUGGCCCGACCAAUUGCGUGUCAGUGUGAUAAAACUACAGUACUGUUUGGCAUAUUGUACAUUAGUAGAGCAAAGUAAUGGCUACUCCUACAAAAAAGCUAAAAUAUUAGCCUAAUGAAUCUAGCUUGUGGCAGAGUUUUUUUUCUUUUUUUACCAAUGUGGUGCUAAAUGCACAUGCUUGCAAGGAGCAGUUAAAAAAAAUGAACGUGUAAUUUGUUUUUGUUGCAAAACAGUUAAGGGAGUGGUCAUGGAAUUGCAACCAAUCUGUAGACACGAGUUUGAAAGCCUGCUAAAUAAACAGAGGGUGGCCUUCAUUUGUUGUGAGCACUGACUGGAAUGGAAUGGUUAAAACAAAUAGGAGCUAGACUCUAACUCUAAACAUGUUGAAUUGAACAAAAUGAAUGUUGCUUUUUCAAAGACGAAACGGUCAAGAUUGACACAUCAACAAUAAAUAAGUGUUUUAAGUCUUGUUUGACUUAACUAACA